AUUGAACGCUGGCGGCAGGCCUAACACAUGCAAGUCGAGCGGGGUUUUCGGACCUAGCGGCGGACGGGUGAGUAAUGCGUAGGAAGCUACCCGAUAGAGGGGGAUACCAGUUGGAAACGACUGUUAAUACCGCAUAAUGUCUACGGACCAAAGUGUGGGACCUUCGGGCCACAUGCUAUCGGAUGCGCCUACGUGGGAUUAGCUAGUUGGUGAGGUAAUGGCUCACCAAGGCGACGAUCUCUAGCUGGUUUGAGAGGAUGAUCAGCCACACUGGAACUGAGACACGGUCCAGACUCCUACGGGAGGCAGCAGUGGGGAAUAUUGGACAAUGGGCGCAAGCCUGAUCCAGCCAUGCCGCGUGCAGGAUGAAGGCCUUCGGUU
rnacentral:rRNA from 1 species